CGCGUAGGCGGUCCCCCGAGUCCGGGGUGAAAUCUUUCGGCCUAACCGGAAAAGGGCCUCGGAUACUAGGGGACUGGAGGGGGAUAGGGGCGGACGGAACUUCCGGUGGAGCGGUGAAAUGCGUUGAUAUCGGAAGGAACGCCGGUGGCGAAAGCGGUCCGCUGGGUCCCUACUGACGCUGAGGCGCGAAAGCCAGGGUAGCGAACGGGAUUAGAUACCCCGGUAGUCCUGGCCCUAAACGAUGGGUACUGGGUAGAGGGCUGUCACCGGCUCUCUGCCGUAGCUAAAGUGGUAAGUACCCCGCCUGGGGAGUAUGGUCGCAAGGCUGAA
rnacentral:rRNA from 1 species